rnacentral:rRNA from 1 species
UACGGGGGGGGUAAGCGUUGUUCGGAAUUACUGGGCGUAAAGGGCUCGUAGGCGGCCAACUAAGUCAUACGUGAAAUCCCUCAGCUUAACUGGGGAACUGCGUGUGAUACUGGGUGGCUUGGAUUUGGGAGAGGGAUGCGGAAUUCCAGGUGUAGCGGUGAAAUGCGUAGAUAUCUGGAGGAACACCGGUGGCGAAGGCGGCAUCCUGGACCAAUAUUGACGCUGAGGAGCGAAAGCCAGGGGAGCAAACGGG